UCCGAUAUGGUCUAGUGGCUAGGAUUUGCCGCUCUCAUUGAGAGUUUUCCACUCAAGAAAUUAAAACCGGCAAGGCCCGGGUUCGAUUCCCGGUGUCGGAA